CAGGGCCUAGCACAUGCAAGUCGAACGAGACCUUUCGGGGUCUAGUGGCGCACGGGUGCGUAACGCGUGGGAAUCUGCCCUUGGGUUCGGAAUAACAGCGAGAAAUUGCUGCUAAUACCGGAUAAUGACGUAAGUCCAAAGAUUUAUCGCCCAGGGAUGAGCCCGCGUAGGAUUAGCUAGUUGGUGGGGUAAAGGCCUACCAAGGCGACGAUCCUUAGCUGGUCUGAGAGGAUGAUCAGCCACACUGGGACUGAGACACGGCCCAGACUCCUACGGGAGGCAGCAGUGGGGAAUAUUGGACAAUGGGCGAAAGCCUGAUCCAGCAAUGCCGCGUGAGUGAUGAAGGCCCUAGGGUUGUAAAGCUCUUUUACCCGGGAUGAUAAUGACAGUACCGGGAGAAUAAGCUCCGGCUAACUCCGUGCCAGCAGCCGCGGUAAU
rnacentral:rRNA from 1 species